rnacentral:lncRNA from 1 species
GUUCUAUGAGCCCUUAGUUUUUAGUUUUUAUUCACUUUUUAGACACAGCCAUAAAUCAAGCUCUUUAUUUCAAGUUAUGCUAUUGAAAUAGACCUAGUUACCUGACUUUAUUUAAUCCUAAUCGGAUUCGUUAACCACUGUGCCACGACGGGAACUCCACCACAUAUUUGUUUUGUUUUCCAGCUUUAAAAGUAGUUUUGAAGCAAGAAAUUAGGAAGGGAAUGGGCGAGUCAUGGCUAGAGGCAUCUGGAAGCUGGUGAAGACGACAGAAGAACCUUUAUCACUGGUUGGAAGCAAUUCCCCAUAAGGACCAAAGACCCUACAGAUGCAUUUUAUAGGGAUAAUCCUUUAUAAAAAGUUUCCCUAAACGUUUAACCUGUGACCACUUUAGCAUGCUGACUAGUUUUAUCAGUAAAGCCAAUUUGAAUUUCUUUUCGACCCAUUUAACACUCUCUUCGUCUGGGUCUAAUGCCAACCAUCUAUGCGGACAAGUUUAAUAUUUCUUCAUUAGGAGAAGAAAUACAAAGUCCACAAAGCAUUUCCUUUUCUCAGUGAUCUGCUAUUUAGUUGGGGUGGUAAGGAUAUAAAUAAUGCAGAUCAGGAACACUGUGUGUGAAGUUCAAGGUAUGCAUGCGUUGAUGGGGACUCGGUGCACUAGACAGUGAGGAGCCUUGUGUUAGAAAGAUGGCCUUGAGCUAAGUCUUAAAGGAGACGUGGACUUACCCAGACAAAGGAUGGGAAGAACCCUACUCCAGGCAUACGAAUUUGUACUAGCAGUCAUUGAGAAGCAAAGGAACAGGAUUUAUUUGAGUAGUACCUCAAGAAUUGAGGAGCUUCUGGUAAAGUGGGACUGAGCAGGGGACAGCUAACUCUUUCUGUACAGGGCCACAUGGUAAAUGGUUUAGACUGUGCGAACUUUAUGGACCAUAUGGUGUAAUACAGUGGCUUCAUGUUUGGUCGAAAAGAAAUGAGUAGCAGUUCCAUGAAGACAGUUUGCAGCAGUUGUCAUGUUGGAUUUGGCCCUCCGACUCCAGCUCGCUAGACCUCGGUGUAGAGGUUGUGUGAGCACCACACCUCUCUACUGCUCUGAGUAAUUUUCUUGUUGCUUUAGUUAGUAUCUUCAUAGGAUUAGAUUGCAUGGCAUAGUAUAGAUAGAAUUAUGGAAAACUUUUAUAUACUUCCUCUUCAAAACUUUUCUUUCCCUAAGUAUGGUACUUUUCCUGUGUGUUUUAGUAUCUGAUAUGUGCUUUCUCUUCUGGAGCGUCUAACAUUUAUUAGCACAGUUUUCUAUAGUAAUUGCUGACAAUGUCUUAUUACCUUCAUGUCUUUUGUUCUCUUUUCUUUUUGUUUCAAGUUGGUGUCACAUUUGACGUGUCACAGUAGAGGAGUUGCAGAAAAAAACUGUGACUAUCCAAGGGUCGUAGAGGUAGGCUUUUGGAAGCAGUAACAUUGGAGCUUGCCCUUGAAGGAUAAGUGAGUUUUGCCAGGCAAUGAACAAAGAAAUGAUAUUUUGGGUGUGAGAAAUAGUGUCAGCAGAAAUAAAAAGAUGUGAAACGCAAUGCAAUACUCACUGAACAUCAAGUAAUCCAGAACAUCAGAAAACCUGGAAGAUAUAAAUCUAUCCUCUCUUUAAAGUAUCUUAACUGACAUUCUCAGUUGUUUGGAUUUUUCUUGCAGCCUGUAGAAAGUUCUUGCUCCUCUUCAGAGUCCCUUAUCUCCAUAGCAGCCAAAAUGAUUCUUUUUAAAUGUAAAUCAGACCAUAUCACACCUCUAGUCAGAGACUCUCCUUCUUAGAAAAUAAAGUAACUCUCCUACUGAGUGAAGGAAGUCAGAAGGAGAAAGACAAAUACCAUAUGCUAUCACUUAUAUCUGGAACCUAAUAUAGGGCACAAAUGAACCUUUCCACAGAAUAGAAAAUCAUGGACUUGGAGAAUAGACUUUUGGUUGCCAAGGGGACUGGGGGAGAGAGUGGGAUGGAUGGGGAGCUUGGGAUUAAUAGAUGCAGACUAUUGCCUUUGGAAUGGAUUAGCAAUGAGAUCCUGCUGUGUAGCUCUGGGAACUAUAUGUGGUCACUUAUGAUGGAGCAUGAUAAUGUGAGACAAAAGAAUGUAUACAUGUAUGUGUAACUGGGUCACCAUGUUGUAUGGUAGAAAAUUGACAGAACACUGUAAACCAGCUAUAAUGAAAAAAAUAAAAAUCAUUAUAUAAAAAAAUUUUUUUUUAAAUUAAGAACUCCUUGCCAUCUCCUAGAACAUCCUACAUGACCUGACACCUCACUCCCCUGUCUGAACUCAUUCUCUCCUGUCUUUCCUGCUCCACCUCCACUGACCUUGAAGUCUCUCAAGUGCACCCAGCACACUGCCUGGCCCUGGCACUCCUACAUCCUCUGGAGCGCCCUUAGCAAGGUUAUCGUUCUCAUCUUAUCCAGGCUUCAGAUCCAAUCUCACUUUCUAAGUUGAGCCUUCUAUGAACACCGCAUCCAAAUUGGAGCUUCUUCCAUGACCCUCUGGACUCUUAUCUUGCUUACUUUUUCUUGCUAGAAAAGCUGUUUUAAAAACUUAAAUCUGAUGUCUCUGUGAUGAUGGCGACACAGUUGAGGACCUUGGAUGAGGAAUUCUGAGAAGCAUACAGCACAGAGCAAAUUCUGGAAAGUCCAUACCAGAAAUAUUUUCAAAUAAUUAAUAGAAGUUUUGCCCCUUCUUUACCUUUUUAUUGUUCUUCAUUCUUCUUUUAAUUGUGCCUUCUUAGAACAGCUCCCAUGGUAUGUCCAAAUGAGAAAGUCUGUUUUUAUGUGAGAAAUAUCAAAUUUCUAAGGUUAAAUUUUAUGUCUAUUUCGUCUCUGUAGGAAAAUGAAAAAAGAUUUUUUUCUCCUUUUUAUUAGCCUCUGUAUAAUUUGGUGUCAUUAUUCAUAUAGAAUGUAAUUUUCUAUUGUGGAUAGAGGUUGUGGAGUACAUAAUUAAAUUUACUUUGAGUUUAUGCUCUUGCAAAACCAGGUAUAAAGUCAGUGUAACUUUUUUUAAUUCACGAAGAGUCUAAGGUUCAUGAAAGAUAUCCAUGAGCACUUUUUCAAAUUUGAAAGUAAAGAGAAAAUGCCAUGAGAGUUAAUCCUAUUUUAUCUAUGAAGUUCUUUAUGCCAGCUAAAAUACUAAGAGAAGUAGCAAGUAAAUUAUAUAUAAUAAGGAUUUAUUAACUAAACAUCUGUUUGAGGGGAAAAUAUUCCAGGUCCAGGAAAGGAUACAUCAAAGAACUAUGUUAUUUCCACUAAGCUGUUAUAUGUUCCCUCUGAGGCUCCCUGACUUUUUUUCUGGGGCACAGAAUAAGGUAUGAGAGUACCUGGAUGAAGUUCAGGGAGAAGCAAAUAAACCCAGGAGUAUUUGUAGUCAUUCCUGUUUGAGAGUUUAGCAAACUUUUUCCUUUUUAAAUCUUUAUCUCUACCCACAUAUCAGACAAUGAACAAUGAUAGGGAAAUGUUUAGGGGAGAAUAUGUUAACACAUCACUGAGUGUGAAGUAGUGGUCUUUUCCAGUUUUAUUGCCUAUAUUACAUAAUGAUGCCUAAAGAUAAGUACUCUGGUCAUUUUAAUGUUGUGUUCAAGUGUUGCUUUGAUGGCCUAACUCUCUCAGGCAGGUGAGACUUAGUAUGCUGGGCCCACUAGAUUUUGUAUUUGGCAUGCACUUUAUUCAAAAUAUGGGGCCUAACAGCAUUAUAGGAAAUGCUGUUAUGUAUAAUUGUGGUAAUAAUUGUGGUAUUAGUUACGUACACGUUGUAGUAAUUAAAAAAAAAUCUCUGAAUGCAAUGAAGGAAACAACUAAAAAAAAAAUCGUUAAUGAAAAUGAUUUAAUGUGUUUUUCUCUGGAGGCAAUGCUACUUCCAGCAGUAAGUACUAUGCAAAGUCAUCCUGCUACAAAACGAUUAGAGAAGAAAACAAAUGUGGGAGAUUUGGAGGUCCUUCCACCAUUCUUAGUUAUUCCCUUUGCAGUUGAUACAAUGACAAGCACACACCAUGAAGUCAUAAGUUGGAAUUACCCUGACAAUGUCAGUAUUAGACCAAAACUAACUGAGAUCAAGAAGUAAAUGCAGGAGUUCCCUGGUGGCCUAGCAGUUAAGGACUUGGUGUUGUCACUGCUGUGGCAUGUGUUACAGUGUGGCUCAGGUUUGACCUCUGACCCAGAAACUUCCACGUGCCAUGGGUGUAGCCAAGAAAAAUGAACUAAAUAGAAUUUUAAAAAGUAAAAGGUAUAAUU